UGAUAAUUUAGAUGGGCAUUGGAAGGAAAUUCGUACUCUACCAACGAAAUUGAUGAGAUUCGAGAGUUAUAGGCAAAAUACUUUUUAGAAGAGUGCAUGUAA